rnacentral:rRNA from 1 species
UCAAGCGAAAAAGAGCUUACGGCGGAUACCUUGGUGUUCAGAAGCGAUGAAGGGCGUGGCUACCAACGAAAUAUCUCGGGGAACUGGAAGCAAGUUUUGAUCCGAGAAUUCCCGAAUAAGGAAACUUUUAAAACUACUUCUUGAAUUCAUAAAGAAGAAAGAGCAAACCUAGUGAAUUGAAACAUCUUAGUAACUAGAGGAAAAGAAAGCAAAAGCGAUUCCCUAAGUAGCGGCGAGCGAAAUGGGACCAGUCUAAACUCUAGUUAUAGAGGGUUGAGGGACAGUCAAUAAUAAAUUGCAAGCGUUAGUUGAAACAGUUGGAAUACUGUACCACAGAGGGUGAAAGUCCCGUAGUCAAAAAUUUUAGCAGCUUAUAACUGUAUCCCAAGUAGGGAGAGACACGUGAAACCUCUUCUGAAUUUGCGAGGACCACCUCGUAAGACUAAAUAUUCCUGAAUAACCGAUAGUGAACCAGUACCGUGAGGGAAAGGUGAAAAGAACCCCGGGAGGGGAGUGAAAUAGAACAUGAAACCGUAAGUUUACAAGCAGUAGAAGAGCGACUUAACGCUCGACUUCGUGCCUGUUGAAGAAUGAGCUGGCGACUUGUAGGUUGUGGCAAGGUUAAGGUAAGAAAAUACUGGAGCCAGAGUGAAAGCGAGCUUGAUAAGAGCGUUAAGUCACAGUUUACAGACCCGAACCCGGAUGAUCUAACCAUGGCCAGUGUGAAGCUUAGGUAACACUAAGUAGAGGUACGAACCGACUGUUGUUGAAAAAACAGCGGAUGAGUUGUGGUUAGGGGUGAAAUUCCAAUCGAAUCCGGAGCUAGCUGGAUCUCCCCGAAAUGCGUUGAGGCGCAGCGACUAAUGUUUCUUCUUAGGGGUAAAGCUACUGUUUUGGUGCGGGCUGCGAGAGCGGUACCAAAUCAAUGCAAACUCUGAAUACUAAGACGUUUAAUUAGUUAGUGAGAUAUUGGGGGAUAAGCUUCAAUAUCAAGAGGGAAACAGCCCAGAUUAUCAGUUAAGGCCCCUAAAUAAUUACUAAGUGGCAAAGGAGGUGGGAGUGCAUAGACAAUCAGGAGGUUUGCUUAGAAGCAGCAAUCCUUUAAAGAGUGCGUAAUAGCUCACUGUUCGAGUGCUCCUGCGCCGAAAAUGAAUGGGACUAAGUAAUUUGCCGAAGCUGUAAGAUGUUUUAACAUCGGUAGGGGAGCGUUCUACAUUAGAUUGAAGCGUUAGCGAAAGCGGGCGUGGACAAAGUAGAAGUGAGAAUGUUAGCUUGAGUAGCGAAAACAUUGGUGAGAAUCCAAUGCCCCGAAAACCCAAGGGUUCCUCCGGAAGGCUCGUCCGCGGAGGGUGAGUCAGGUCCUAAGGUGAGGCUAGUAGCGUAAUCGAUGGAUAACAGGUUAAUAUUCCUGUACUGUUUAUUGUUGGUAAAGGGGGACGGAGAAGGCUAAAUCGACCGAAUGUUGGUUAUCGGCUUAAGUACUCGAGGUAAUGAGAAUUGGUGAAAACAAUUUGAGCUGAGAUACGAAUAGGAAAGUGUUAAGACACUGAACCGAUUGAUGUCAUACUUCCAAGAAAAGCCCUAUCUACCAUAAACAAUAAAUACCUGUACCCGAAACCGACACAGGUGGGUAAGUAGAGAAUACUAAGGGGCGCGAGAUAACUCUCUCUAAGGAACUCGGCAAAAUGGCCUCGUAACUUCGGGAGAAGAGGUGCCUUUAAAAAGGCUGCAAUAACCAGACGCUGGCGACUGUUUAUCAAAAACACAAGUCUCCGCAAAGUCGUAAGACGAUAUAUGGGGGCUGACACCUGCCCAGUGCCGGAAGGUUAAGGAAGCUUGUUAGUCUUUGACGAAGCUCGCGACCGAAGCCCCGGUGAACGGCGGCCGUAACAAUAACGGUCCUAAGGUAGCGAAAUUCCUUGUCGGGUAAGUUCCGACCUGCACGAAUGGCGUAACGACUUCCCCACUGUCUCCAGCAUCGACUCAGCGAAAUUGAAUUGCCCGUGAAGAUGCGGGCUACCCGCGGUUAGACGGAAAGACCCCGUGCACCUUUACUACAGCUUUACAUUGGCAUUAGUGACGACAUGUGUAGGAUAGGUGGUAGACUUUGAAGCCCGGGCGCUAGCUCGAGUGGAGUCACCCUUGAAAUACCACCCUUGUCCUUAUUGAUGUCUAACCACGGCGCUACAACGCCUGGGACAAUGUAUGGUGGGUAGUUUGACUGGGGCGGUCGCCUCCCAAAGAGUAACGGAGGCGCGCGAUGGUAGGCUCAGGCUGGUCGGAAACCAGCUGUAGAGUGCAAUGGCAUAAGCCUGCCUGACUGCGAGACUGACAAGUCGAGCAGAGACGAAAGUCGGUCAUAGUGAUCCGGUGGUCCCGCGUGGAAGGGCCAUCGCUCAACGGAUAAAAGGUACGCCGGGGAUAACAGGCUGAUGAUGCCCAAGAGUCCAUAUCGACGGCAUGGUUUGGCACCUCGAUGUCGGCUCGUCGCAUCCUGGGGCUGGAGUAGGUCCCAAGGGUUGGGCUGUUCGCCCAUUAAAGUGGCACGCGAGCUGGGUUCAGAACGUCGUGAGACAGUUCGGUCCCUAUCUGCCGUGGGUGUAGGAGAAUUGAGUGGAGUUGCCCCUAGUACGAGAGGACCGGGGUGGACGUACCUCUGGUGGACCAGUUGUCGUGCCAACGGCACAGCUGGGUAGCUAUGUACGGACUGGAUAACCGCUGAAAGCAUCUAAGCGGGAAGCCC